rnacentral:pre_miRNA from 1 species
AGUGGAAUUGCUGGCUCAAAUGCUAACUCUGUGUUUCACCUUUUGAGGAAUUAAUAGACUGUUUUCCAGAGUGCCUGCACCCUUUACAGGCCUAUCAGCAGU